rnacentral:rRNA from 1 species
UUCGCAAUGCCCGAAAGGGUGACGAAGCGACGCCGCGUGUGGGAAGAAGGCCUUCGGGUUGUAAACCACUGUCGGGAGUUAAGAAGUGUAGUGAUGUUAAUAGCAUCGCUACUUGACUAAGGCUCCGGAGGAAGCCACGGCUAACUCUGUGCCAGCAGCCGCGGUAAUACAGAGGCGGCAAGCGUUGUUCGGAAUUAUUGGGCGUAAAGAGCACGUAGGCGGCUAUGUAAGUCGGUUGUGAAAGCCUUCCGCUCAACGGAAGAACAGCAUCCGAUACUACAUGGCUUGAGUGCGGGAGGGGAGAGUGGAACUUCUGGUGGAGCGGUGAAAUGCGUAGAUAUCAGAAGGAACGCCGGCGGCGAAAGCGGCUCUCUGGCCCGUAACUGACGCUGAGUGUGCGAAAGCUAGGGGAGCAAACGGGAUUAGAUACCCCGGUAGUCCUAGCCGUAAACGAUGGGCACUAAGUAGAGGGGUUUU